rnacentral:rRNA from 1 species
GUGGGGAAUAUUGGGCAAUGGGGGAAACCCUGACCCAGCAACGCCGCGUGAGGGAAGAAGGUUUUCGGAUUGUAAACCUCUGUCCUUGGUGACGAAGGAAGUGACGGUAACCAAGGAGGAAGCCCCGGCUAACUACGUGCCAGCAGCCGCGGUAAUACGUAGGGGGCAAGCGUUGUCCGGAAUGACUGGGCGUAAAGGGCGUGUAGGCGGCCGAGUAAGUCUGGAGUGAAAGUCCUGCUUUCAAGGUGGGAAUUGCUUUGGAGACUGGUUGGCUUGAGUGCGGAAGAGGUAAGUGGAAUUCCCAGUGUAGCGGUGAAAUGCGUAGAGAUUGGGAGGAACACCAGUGGCGAAGGCGACUUACUGGGCCGUAACUGACGCUGAGGCGCGAAAGCGUGGGGAGCGAACAGGAUUAGAAACCCGUGUAGUCC